rnacentral:rRNA from 1 species
AUUGACCGCUGGCGGCAGGCCUAACACAUGCAAGUCGAACGAGAGGCGGACGGGUGAGUAAUGUAUGGGGACUGCCCGAUCGAGGGGGAUAACUACUGGAAACGGUGGCUAAUACCGCAUACUAUCGGAUAACCCAUAUGGGAUUAGCUAGUAGGGGGGGUAAAGGCUCACCUAGGAGACGAUCCCUAGCUGGUCUGCGAGGAUGCGCAGCCAACAUGGGACUGAUACACGGCCCAGACGCAUCCGGAGGCAGCAGUGGGGAAUAUUGCACAAUGGGCGCAAGCCUGAUGCAGCCAUGCCGCGUGUAUGAAGAAGGCCUUAGGGUUGUAAAGUACUUUCAGCGGGGAGGCGUUACCCGCAGAAGAAGCACCGGCUAACUCCGUGCCAGCAGCCGCGGUAAUAC